rnacentral:rRNA from 1 species
UACAGAGGCCCCGAGCGUUAGGCGGAAUCACUGGGCUUAAAGCGUGUGUAGGCGGAUCGGUAAGUAUCUUGUGAAAUCCCACGGCUCACCCGUGGAACUGCUUGGUAUACUGCCGACCUUGAGGCAUUCAGGGGCAACCGGAACAGACGGUGGAGCGGUGAAAUGCGUAGAUAUCGUCUGGAACGCCAAAGGUGAAGACAGGUUGCUGGGGAUGUCCUGACGCUGAGACACGAAAGCCAGGGGAGCAAACGGG